AGGGGUAAACGAGUGAUCGCAGGCUCGAAAGAGCCUGAGGAAAGUCCGGGCAUCAAAGGGCAGAAUGGCCCCUAACGGGGGCUGGGGGAAACCCUAAGGAAAGUGCAACAGAAAAGAUACCGCCCGCAUGGGAUAUUUCCCGACGGGUAAGGGUGAAAAGGCGAGGUAAGAGCUCACCAGCGCUUAGGUGACUGAGCGGCUUUGCAAACCCCAUUUGAUGCAAGGCCAAACAGGGGGCUGCCGCUUUGAGCAGCGAGGAUGGCCCGUCCUUCAACCCAGGUAGGCCGCAAGAGGUUCCGGGUAAUCGGAGCUCAAGAGAAAUGGUCACUGGCCGACACACCGGCUACAAAACCCGGCUUAUAGUUUACCCCUUUUC
rnacentral:RNase_P_RNA from 1 species